rnacentral:rRNA from 1 species
GACGUAGGGUGCAAGCGUUAAUCGGAAUUACUGGGCGUAAAGGGCGCGUAGGCGGCCAGCACAAGUCAGUUGUGAAAUCUCCGGGCUUAACUCGGAAAGGUCAACUGAUACUGUGCGGCUAGAGUGCAGAAGGGGCAACUGGAAUUCUCGGUGUAGCGGUGGAAUGCGUAGAUAUCGAGAGGAACACCUGCGGCGAAGGCGGGUUGCUGGGCUGACACUGACGCUGAUGCGCGAAAGCCAGGGGAGCGAACGGG